UAACUGCAAUGUUGUUGGAAUAGCUGAGAAGGGGUGGGUCAGUCUGCACACCAGGGGUGGCUGCCAUGGGCUGGCAUUGGCUCUCCAGGAGAGAGUGGCAGGAAGAUGAGGAUGUAAGGGGCUUGCUGUCACUGUCAAGGAUUAGCCUGGAUAUAAGGAUCCCUUCAGUGGGAUGCAUGAGGGUACUGAAGAGCCUGUGGUUUGGGGGAGAGGCCUGAAGAACACAUCCUACUUCCCACAGAGGAGUUUAACCUUUCUGACACCUACUGGAAGGCAAUUGUGGAACACCAGCAGUACAGCAGGUUUCUGGAGGGCAUCAGGGAUAACUUCUUGAAAUAAGCACAAGGAGGACCAGCUGGGGAUAACUACCUCUGCUAAUGACAAGGGAGAAGGGGCUGGGUGUGAACCAGCAACUGGUGGGGUGAGGAAGGAGAGUAACAGAGAGUGGAUGCUGGACUUUGGGAGAGCAGAUUUCAGCUUUAUUAUAAAACUUGAAUUUAUUGUUUCCGGAUGAUUCUGUGAUUCUGUGCUGAGAUACCAUAGUGUCCAAAAGCCCACUAAAUUCCUCUCACAGAGCUCAGUGGACUCUGGAACAGUGCCUGGAACCCUCAGGAGCUGAAGGAGAACAUGAAACGCUCCUGUCCUGAUUGCUGGGAGUCAUCUUUCCAAGUCACUGUGCACGUGUGCACAAAUCCUGAACUUUCAGAGGCGACUGCAGACCACAUGCACUGGCUGUCUGUCUUUCUCCCUCUGAGUGAGCUCCAGUAUGGGAAAAUGGGGCCCCAGAUCCAAGAAGUCAGAAGGAAGUGAAUUAGUGAGUUAGAGAGGAAUUUGAAAUGAAGAAGGGAAAAUAUUUGGCAGAUAAAAAGAGGCCAAAAUGUUCCAGGUGUAAAGGACAGUAUGAGAGAUGAUGCAGAAAUGAGCAGGAGGGGGAGAAAUCUGAAAGGCAGGGAGACUUGUAAGCUACUUACUCUGAAGUCCCAGGAGUGUUCCCUACUUUUAAACCUCCCACUGUUUUUUGAGGAGUGAGGUCACUGUAUUAGAAAAUUUCCUAGGACUACAGCCCAAAACAGGAAAAUUCAGUUAAAAUAUACAGGCUUGCUGCACUAAAACCAUCAUUUUAACAGCCCAGUCAUUUUAACAAGACUUUUUUCAGACUGCAGACCUGAAAUAUGUUUUGGAUUAGUGCAAUGGAAAUGCAUUGGUUUUAUUGGUCAAUUCUCUACUGUAAAUUGCUUCUCACUUGUAAUGGAUUUCUAUCCCCAAGCAGGUUUAGUCUUUUAACAAAAAUUCGGGGGAUGGACACACAAGUAGUUCAGUCUCAAAAUAAAAGCUGCUUUAUUAUGCUGACAAUAGAGUAGUGGACUUUGCUCUAGGGCUUGGAUCCUCAGCAUCAGAAGGUUGGUUAUUCCUGCUGUGUUGUCAUCCCACUACCAGCUCUCAGCCAAGAACAGUGGCCUGGUCUUAACUAGAGUUGUCUAGCGAAGUUCUCAGAGGAGAUGCUCUGCAGCAGAAUACAGCAGGAAUACCACUGUCCUAUGUCCCUUUUUUCCUAACACAGCCACAAUCAGACCUUGUAAA